AAUAUUAGUCAUGCUCGCAAGAGUGACUAGCUAACUGAAAUCGCAAUUGUGUCAAUUGUGAUAAGGUAAGUGAAAAUCAUGAUAUUAGCUUACUAUUAGUGUUGUCCAAAAACUGGUGCCAGAAGACUCGGUAAGGCCAGAGACGCAAACGUUAGUCGUCCUAAUCAGGCGUAAAGGGUUUGUAGGCGGCUUUAAAAUUCUUAUGUUUUUCUUAGUCAAGAUAUAAAAAUAUAGGUUGAAUUAAAGCUAGAAUCUGAUAGAGGAUAAAUAAAUAAUACUUAGUGUAAGGUUGAAAUCUGCAGAAACUAAGUAGAGUACCAAUGGUGCAGACUAUUAAUCUAUUACAGAUUGACGCUGAGAAACGAAGGAAAGGGUACCGAACGGGAUUAGAGACCCCUCUAGGCCUUUCUGUCAACGAUGAACGGUGGUUUCGCUAAUUGGCUAACAUUUUUUAAAAAUACAAAAAAUUAAUAAAAAUUAUUAAUUAGUUAGUUAUAAUUGGUAGCGAUGUUAACACGAUAACCGUUCCGCCUUGUGAGUACGACUGCAAAGUUGAAAACAAAAAAAUUAGUCGGUUUCG
rnacentral:rRNA from 1 species